UACGUAGGGUGCAAGCGUUAAUCGGAAUUACUGGGCGUAAAGCGUGCGCAGGCGGCUAUGCAAGACAGAUGUGAAAUCCCCGGGCUCAACCUGGGAACUGCAUUUGUGACUGCAUAGCUAGAGUACGGUAGAGGGGGAUGGAAUUCCGCGUGUAGCAGUGAAAUGCGUAGAUAUGCGGAGGAACACCGAUGGCGAAGGCAAUCCCCUGGGCCUGCACUGACGGCUCAUGCACGAAAGAGUGGGGAGCAAACAGG
rnacentral:rRNA from 1 species